rnacentral:rRNA from 1 species
UAUUGCACACUGGGCGCAAGCCUGAUGCAGCCAUGCCGCGUGUAUGAAGAAGGCCUUCGGGUUGUAAAGUACUUUCAGCGGGGAGGAAGGCGAUAAGGUUAAUAACCUUGUCGAUCGACGCUACCCGCAGAAGAAGCACCGGCUAACUCCGUGCCAGCAGCCGCGGUAAUAUGGAGGGUGCAAGCGUUAAUCGGAAUUAACGGGCGUAAAGCGCACGCAGGCGGUCUGUCAAGUCGGAUGUGAAAUCCCCGGGCUCAACCUGGGAACUGCAUUCGAAACUGGCAGGCUAGAGUCUUGUAGAGGGGGGUAGAGUUCCAGGUGUAGCGGUGAAAUGCGUAGAGAUCUGGAGGAAUACCGGUGGCGAAGGCGGCCCCCUGGACAAAGACUGACGCUCAGGUGCGAAAGCGUGGGGAGCAAACAGG